GGCUGGCGCCGAUUGCCAAAAGGGGCGGAGCGAAAAAAAAAUCGAAUCUGGGGCGGAUUGACAGACGUCAGUGGAGGGGGCGUGGCCUACAGCAUGGCGGCAGCCGCAGCCUCCGUAACCCUAGGCCGCCGCGAGCUCCGUUCCGCAGCGGCUGCUUCUUCUGGCCGGCUUCGGGACUGGCGCGCCCGCGGGAGGCUGCUCUGCCCGGUGAGCUGCGGAGGGAGGGCGCCGGCAAUGGCCGCGGCGGCCGCUUCGAGCCGGCACGGUGCAGGGGAAGAGGAGCGCUACUGCGUGGAGUUGCUGCGGAAACAUGACUAUGAGGGAUUCCUCUGUUCAUUGCUCUUACCUGCAGAAUCCCGACCGUCUGCAUUUGCCCUGAGAGCCUUCAAUGCAGAACUGGCUCAGAUUAAGGACUCUGUAACUCAGAAGACUAUUGGCUUGAUGCGAAUACAGUUUUGGAGAACAGCUGUGGAAGACAUGUACCAUGACAAUCCACCGCAGCAGCCUGUUGCUAUAGAACUGUGGAAGGCAAUUAAGAGGCAAAACUUAACCAAAAGAUGGCUUAUGAAGAUUAUUGAUGAAAGGGAGAAAAAUCUGGAUGAAAGAGCAUAUCGGGAUAUCAAGGAACUUGAAGCAUAUGCUGAAAACACUCAGAGUGCUCUCCUUUAUCUCACUUUGGAAACACUCGGUGUGAAGGAUAUCCAUGCAGACCACGCGGCCAGCCACAUUGGGAAGGCACAAGGCAUUGUAACCUGCUUAAGAGCAACUCCCUACCAUGCGAGCAAGAGGAAGGUGUUUCUGCCAAUGGACAUAUGUAUGCUGCAUGGUGUUUCACAAGAGGAUUUCAUAAGAUGCAGUCAGGCGAAAAAUGUAAAAGAUGUUGUAUAUGACCUUGCCAGUCAGGCACAUGUUCAUCUGGAACACAAUGAACAGACAGCUAGGAGAAGACUGGUGCUCUUUCCACUUUGAAGGAAUGGCUGUGUUAGAGUUAGAAAGGGGCAGAAGCAAAUUCCCCAGUUCCCCGCUCUUCUAGUUGUUUGGCAAGGUCCUUCAAGAAGAAUGUUCCCAUUAAAGCAUUUCCUGCCUUUCUCUACACAGCAGCUCUUGAGGACUACUUAAAUAAAAUACAAAAGGUUGACUUCAAUAUAUUUAAUCCAAGCUUGCAUCGGAAGAACACCUUACUACCUCUGUAUUUGUAUAUUAGAUCCUGGAAAAAGACUUAUUAAAGAGUGUGUUAAUUUAG